UCUGAAUCUGAUUUCUGCUCAAGUCCCUCAAUUUCAGCCAGAAAAUACCUGAAAUCACAGAAAAAUACACAAACUCAUAGUAAAGUCCAGAAAUGUGAAUUUAACAUAAAAACUAAUAAAAACAUCCCUAAAAGUAACUAGAUCCUACUAAAAACAUACUAAAAACAAUGUCAAAAAGCGUAUAAAUUAUCCGCUCAUCA
rnacentral:lncRNA from 1 species